rnacentral:rRNA from 1 species
AACAAGGUUUCCGUAGGUGAACCUGCGGAAGGAUCAUUAU